rnacentral:rRNA from 1 species
UACGGGGGGAGCAAGCGUUGUUCGGAUUUACUGGGCGUAAAGGGCGCGUAGGCGGUCGUGCCAAGUCACUUGUGAAAUCUCCGGGCUUAACUCGGAACGGUCAAGUGAUACUGUCGGACUAGAGUACAGAAGGGGCAACUGGAAUUCUCGGUGUAGCGGUGAAAUGCGUAGAUAUGCGGAGGAACACCGAUGGCGAAGGCAAUCCCCUGGACCCGUACUGACGCUCAUGCACGAAAGCGUGGGGAGCAAACAGG